rnacentral:lncRNA from 1 species
GGUGGGUAAACUUCAUUCAUUGAGAUGAAAGCCAAUCUCGUCCUUCAAGAAAUCCUCCUUGCGGUGCAGAGACAUGUUACAGAUUUGGCAUUGCACUCGCGGCAGGAAUCCUCUCCCACAGCCACUGGAUGAAGGUCGACCACUACGGACAGAGCCCUCUAGUGUUUGCGAGGAGCUCCCUCAACGAGAUUAGCAUGCAAGGCCACCUCUUGAAUCGCUCGUACCUGAAGAUUCUCACACUCAACCAAGGCAUCGACAAGCUUCUGAAAUGACACUGGCUCAGACAAAACAGACACUGAGGAGACAAUGGCAUCAAAUUUAGGAGGCAAUCCAGCAAGCAUUAUUUCUAUCUUCUCAGUCUCGGGAAUACGAGUACCUGAGGCUUCCAAAAGUGCACAAAAAUUCUUUGUGUGAGCAACAUAAUCUUUUAUCGAAAGCAUACCUUUCUUUAAGGAAUGAAGUUCAUGACGAAUCCUAGAUUUUUUAGCACCAGUGUCGGUGUGAACAGACUUGUUGUCGUAGUCCAUACAUCGCAGGCUGGUUUAACAUCUGUGAAGGAAGUCAACAAAGAGUCGUUUAUCGUGGAAAGAAACUACGAAGCGAGGAACUGAUCUUGUUGCUUGAAGACCAGCGCGAACGCAUUAGGAGUAAGGGAACCAUCCAGUGAUUAAAUAAACCUCACCGGUGGAGGUAAGGUCUCGUCUAGAAAUCCUAUCAAACCAUAUCCACGUAAUAUUAAGCAUACCUAUUGUUGCCAUUGACUGAAAUUUCCUUCAUCAUGUUUCACAAGAUCAUACCGAGGGAAUGAGUUUACAACUUUUUCAGCAGUGAAAAGAGCACAACCACCAGAAACUAAGGCAGAUUCAGCUGAGUCCGUGACAGCCAUAACACCGAGGAUCACAAGGCGACUGAUACCAUGCUAGAAGGUAUGCAUAAGCAGUACUUAGUGUAGCUAGACAUCUAUUCUGAUAUUUGAGAGAGAAAGGGAAGAAACAAUUCUAUUUCUGUAUCUUGAAUGAAUACCUGACUUAGUUCAUUUGUACAUAUAGUAUAUAUAGAAAACUCGGAUAGCUGCUUUUAAACCAACUCUUCAAAAAAUGCUAGUUGUAUUAACAGCUUCUUGCUGCUCUUAAAC